rnacentral:lncRNA from 1 species
UGCCUUUUAUCUUAAUAUUACUAAUAAUUGGUGGUUUCAGAAGGACACUAAUUAUCAUGAUUGAUAGUAGUCUAUUUUAUUUCUAUAAAUUUUUCCACAUCUAUUGUUAUUAAAAAUUACAUUAAGUAACCAUCUAAACUUUGCAUCUAAAUUAUCCAUCCCUGUCAUUAUAAAAAAUAAAAAAAUCAUAAAUUUGUAUUAAAUUUAUCCACAUGUCCAAUUGUUAUGGUAAUGAACAAUAACUGGCUCAACUUUAUCUAAAUCAUUCACUUUUGCCAUUAUGAAAGAUAAUAUAAAAUAACCACUAAGUUUACUUUUAAAUUACCCACAAGUGCCACUACGAAAGAUAAUACAAAGUAACAAAUUUCACUUGUAUUUAAAUUACCACC